AUGCUCCCAAGGGGGCAUACCGCCCUCGUCCUGCUCGAGGGCGUAGUACCACGUCUGUGCGGCGCCCCAAAGGUGAUACGAGGUGAGCCACGUGCGAUCCGACGCGAGUGUGUGUUGCCCCCGGAAGAACUGCUCGCACUCGUUGAGCCAGUUGAGGGGUUCCUCAGUCCCGUUGUAGGUGGCGAAGUCCAGCGAAGCAUGGUGGCGUCUGGUUAUGACCGCCCUGGCCGUACAGCUCGGUGGCGCGGAGCAGCGAGGAGGGUGGCGCCCAGUCGAUGGGGUCGGCGCAUCCUGCGGAAGGACCCGCGGAGCCGGAUGGAUCGCCGAACUGCAAGGUGGGCGCCGGUUGUUCCCCGACCGAAGCGAACCUGCUGGAUCGGAACGCCUCCCUGCGUGGUCGGCCCUGACCCGGUGCUGAGUGGAGGAGGGGCCGGCAGCAGCGGCGGUUGCUAG
rnacentral:rRNA from 1 species